AGCAUGGUGCAGUAGUUUGAGCGUUGGACUACGAUUCUGGAGACCAGGGUUCGAAUCCCGGCCAAGCUA